ACCAAUUAUAUGAAAAAUUUAUCAUUCCAGCCAACAAAUACUCAUUUCAUAUGCUAAGGAAAUGGAAUUGCAAGUGGUUCUUCAAUGACUUAAUAUGAGAAAAUUAGGUCCAACACAUUUUUCUAAACUAAAAACGAGUCUAUUGAAAAAUAAUUUGAGAGAUCAUACCUAAAGGCUAAAAGUGCUGUUUUCAAAUAAGAAAAAAAAUUAAAAAGUCGUGUGUUAAGGGUAACAAAGUUUUGAGUUUUCUGCUAUUCAACACGAUUUACAUCAAAAGAAACUACCGAACAGUAAGCUGAGGAAGAAGACGACAGUGAAAUCACGAAGUACUGCAAAAUACAACCUUCAAAGAACUUAUCAAUUAAAUCACGAAAAUAGAAGAAAAAGAAGAAACCUUCAAAAUCAGAGCCCCACUGGCAGUCGCCGGAGCCGGCGCCGGCAUUCGUCUUCCAGCAACGGCUAACUCCGUACUUUAUUCAGCAAGGUAAAUUUGAUCAAACUCAAACCUGUACUAUAAUGCUGAUCGGAUAUGAUGACGAUGAGGAGGAAAACUAUAUAUGUUUCGAUUCCCCGUGGAGAUUGGUCGGUCUGCUCAUUAGAGUUCCGGACUUCGAAACUUCUGUGUUUCAAGAACUUCAGGUGCUUUUUCAGUUAAAUUUCACUCUUAUGUUAUCCUGUAAUGUGUUUAUAUGCAGUGCAGAAAUACUUUUUUUUUUUUUUUUUUUUUUAUCUUUCCACAUUACUGGGUCUGAUAAUUUAAUUAUGGCCCAGAGUUUCGAAAUUUUUCUUGACGUUGAUUAUUGGUUUUGCGUAGAGUCUGAACUCUGAAGGAAGAACUACCCAGUGACUUUGCUGAAACAUGCGACAAUCAAAUAUCGUUAGCAUAUUGAGGUUAAAGUUUAUUGUAAAAUAAUUGCCUAAAAAGUGUUUGGCUCUGCUAUUGUAGUAUGUGCAUGUUUGGUUUGCACAUUUAUAUCACAAUCUACUAAAAAAUCUAAUUUUAAUCUCCACCAAACAUCCUUGUUUCGUUCUGGUGACUGUCGAUACCUAAUCUCCACCAAACUAUCCUUUUGCUUGGUUCUGGUGACCAUCGAUACCUAAAUGUUUUAUGGUUGCUUUAUCUUUUUACCUAUAUGGCAAUUGUAUUUAAAAUACUCGGG
rnacentral:lncRNA from 1 species